AUUGAACGCUGGCGGCAGGCCUAACACAUGCAAGUCGAAUGGUAACAGGAAACAGCUUGCUGUUUCGCUGACGAGUGGCGGACGGGUGAGUAAUGUCUGGGAAACUGCCUGAUGGAGGGGGAUAACUACUGGAAACGGUAGCUAAUACCGCAUAACGUCGCAAGACCAAAGAGGGGGACCUUCGGGCCUCUUGCCAUCAGAUGUGCCCAGAUGGGAUUAGCUAGUAGGUGGGGUAACGGCUCACCUAGGCGACGAUCCCUAGCUGGUCUGAGAGGAUGACCAGCCACACUGGAACUGAGACACGGUCCAGACUCCUACGGGAGGCAGCAGUGGGGAAUAUUGCACAAUGGGCGCAAGCCUGAUGCAGCCAUGCCGCGUGUAUGAAGAAGGCCUUCGGGUUGUAAAGUACUUUCAGCGGGGAGGAAGGGAGUAAAGUUAAUACCUUUGCUCAUUGACGUUACCCGCAGAAGAAGCACCGGCUAACUCCGUGCCAGCAGCCGCGGUAAUACGGAGGGUGCAAGCGUUAAUCGGAAUUACUGGGCGUAAAGCGCACGCAGGCGGUUUGUUAAGUCAGAUGUGAAAUCCCCGGGCUCAACCUGGGAACUGCAUCUGAUACUGGCAAGCUUGAGUCUCGUAGAGGGGGGUAGAAUUCCAGGUGUAGCGGUGAAAUGCGUAGAGAUCUGGAGGAAUACCGGUGGCGAAGGCGGCCCCCUGGACGAAGACUGACGCUCAGGUGCGAAGCGUGGGGAGCAAACAGG
rnacentral:rRNA from 1 species